AGAGUUUGAUCCUGGCUCAGAUUGAACGCUGGCGGCAGGCCUAACACAUGCAAGUCGAGCGGUAACAGGGGAAGCUUGCUUCUCGCUGACGAGCGGCGGACGGGUGAGUAAUGUAUGGGGAUCUGCCCGAUAGAGGGGGAUAACUACUGGAAACGGUAGCUAAUACCGCAUAAUCUCUUAGGAGCAAAGCAGGGGAACUUCGGUCCUUGCGCUAUCGGAUGAACCCAUAUGGGAUUAGCUAGUAGGUGAGGUAAUGGCUCACCUAGGCGACGAUCCCUAGCUGGUCUGAGAGGAUGAUCAGCCACACUGGGACUGAGACACGGCCCAGACUCCUACGGGAGGCAGCAGUGGGGAAUAUUGCACAAUGGGCGCAAGCCUGAUGCAGCCAUGCCGCGUGUAUGAAGAAGGCCCUAGGGUUGUAAAGUACUUUCAGUCGGGAGGAAGGCGUUGAUGCUAAUAUCAUCAACGAUUGACGUUACCGACAGAAGAAGCACCGGCUAACUCCGUGCCAGCAGCCGCGGU
rnacentral:rRNA from 1 species